CAGUAGCCGCGGGAACACGGAGGGUGCAAGCGUUAAUCGGAAUUACUGGGCGUAAAGCGCACGUAGGCGGACAUUUAAGUCAGGGGUGAAAUCCCGGGGCUCAACCCCGGAACUGCCUUUGAUACUGGGUGUCUAGAGUAUGGAAGAGGUGAGUGGAAUUCCGAGUGUAGAGGUGAAAUUCGUAGAUAAUCGGAGGAACACCAGUGGCGAAGGCGGCUCACUGGUCCAUUACUGACGCUGAGGUGCGAAAGCGUGGGGAGCAAACAGGAUUAGAUACCCCCGUAGUCCCUGUCUCUUAUAC
rnacentral:rRNA from 1 species